ACGACUACUCUGCCCUAGUUUCUAAUAAACGACAACGCAGGUCUGCCUCCCUAUCUCCAUCUCUCAAAAUCUGUAUUUUGUCAAAGCAAAGGUUGCAAAUUUGUUUGUUCGUGAAUCGCAUGUCUACCCUAAUUUUCGACCUCGCUCAUUCGUGAAUCUCAGAUUAUGGCACCUAGUAAGCAAUGGAUGCAACUUGUUGAUAAUCGGCUUGAUGAAGCCUACUUAAUCGGAGUGCAAAAGUUUUUGAAUUAUGCUUUUCAGAAGGAGAAGAAUAUGAAAUAAGAUGUCCAUAUGUCAAAUGUUGCAAUACAACUUUAGGUAAAAAAAGUUCGAGGUAGGAACAAGUGCAAAGAAGUUGCAUCACUUGAAGUAGGACAAAAGCUGAAAGUAACCUUUUACAACAAUCGAACGGUUGGAACAAAUAGCAAACUAUUUUCAAGGAACUUGAGCAGAAUAGUUCGUGACCGCAAUAUCUGUCCGUUGGGAGUAUCAUCGUGGAAUGAUAUUAAGCAAGAAAAGUUGAAUCACAUGUGGGCAGCUAUUGAGGUAACAAAUGUAGGUAACAGUAUGCAUGUGCAUUUUGAGUCGCACGUAUAAUGGUGUUAUUUGCGAUGUUGCGAGGAAGACCGUAGGUGUAGUUAUAGAUUUUUUUAUUGUGAUUUCAGUUUCUAUGAAUGGAGUACUUUUCUUUUCUUUUCUGAAAUGCAUCCAGAGUUGAAAUAAAGUUAGAAAAUAAACAAUUAUGCAUGGAAGGGCAUAGCAAGUUGUCUUUAUGAACUUACAAUUGUUUUUCACUUUAACUAGUUAAAUUUUCCACCACAGCUGCACGAGUUAGCUAAGCAUCUUAAGACAAAUUAUCAUAUAUUUGCAAGUUACCAUCACAUUCAUAUCACUGUAAUUCUAAUGGUGUUGAAUGUUGAUGAUCUUUGCCUUAUUUGUGACUAUAAUUUCUUUUUAUUCCUUUAUCUGGACCAAUGCCUUUAUCUUUAGUGAAUUCAUUUGUUGUGUUGUCUGAUCCAAAAUGGUCGAUCUUCUUUUUCUUUUUCUUGUCAAAACUAUAGGUUUGGUUAAAAUAAUUGAGUAUUAAAAGUAUAUCUUUGUUUUCAGUUUUCAAGCUCUUUUAAGGCCUUGGUCUUUGGCAUUCUUUGUAUUAACAGAUUUAGCUUACUUUUAGAGCAAAUUCAGCCAUUAAAGGGACCACAACAUGAGAAAUAUAUUCCUACUUUGAUAUGCUUAUCAAAUGGUAAGUUCUUAAGGAAGAAACUGGGAUGCAGGGGGCAAAAAAGUAAACAAUUUUGAUCUCCUUUUUGGUUUAAACUACCUAGGUAUCUGCUUCCAUCUAUAAAUACCAAAAUAAAGGAAUGAAGUCCAACUUUGAACAUGGAUAGAGUUACUGGCAGACGUUAUUUGUAUCUCUUAUCCAGCCAAUGUUGUUUAUUUUUCUACACAAUACAUGAAACUUCAUUCAAAACUUAAACUGCUGCAUAUUUCUGUUUUUUAAAAACUCUUUACAAAAGUUAUUGCAGGGCUCAACAUUGUCAUUAUAGUUGCUUGCAUAUUAGUUGAACAAUGCAUUAUUUUUCCACACCAGAAAAGUUCUAUGAUAUCGUGAUCAUAUUUGAACAACAACAACAACAACAACCCAGUAUAAUCCCACUGAUGAUAUUGCUGGAUAACACCUGAUGAAUUUAGACUGCUUGUGGGGUUUCUGAACUCGUCAUUGUUGACCUUUAGCGGCGGACGCUAUUGUGAUGGGUUGCGACCAACUUUUUCUCGUCGCAAUUGGUGUAUUAGGACCAAAUUUGGAUCUUUAGGGACGAGAUUUUCCUUCCUUAAAGGUCGUUUUUCUUGUAGUGAAAUUAGGGUUGGGAAAGUGAUGGAGAAGAACCAUCGGGACUAAUCAGGUGUAUGCUUGUGUAAGAAAAACUCAACGGCGUCGCACGCGGCGAGGAUCUGAAGUAGAGACGAGGCAGUGAGUACGGUGGCGGCAACAUGCAAAAUGCAAUGUGCGUGAGUGAGGGUUUAGGGGGGUUUUAAUGGGGAAUUCUGACAUAGGGUAAAUUGGGGCUGACAAUGAAGGUUCGAAAUCUGCUAUCAACGAGACGACAUUUAGGAUUAUUCUUGAACAAAGACGACGGAAUUUGGGGCUGAGCAACUUGAAGAGUUUGUUACCUUUUUUUCAUUGUAUUUCAAUGUAUC